rnacentral:lncRNA from 1 species
UAAACUAAAACCAUAAUAACACUAAAUAUUUCACACAUAAUUCCGUGAUACUUUUCCAACACUGAGAAUUUAACACAUACAAGGACAUAGUAUUGGAAUUUAUAGCGGGCAAGGAGAAGAGAGUGAAUUCCUUGAGAGAGCCACAGUUGAUGAUGGCGUCGGUACCUGCCGCCAAGAGACACGGUUGACCUAACUGGAGUGCCGUUAUAUUUUCAGCCUGUAUAGAGGUGACAGUGCCGUGACAGAGGUGGUGGAGGUUAUUAAUGCACCAAGGAACAGGUGUGUAAGGUGUGGCAGUGGUGUUGAUAAGGGAUUAGUGUGUAAGGAAGGAAAGAAUUGUGGUGGGCCGAGUGCACAACAAACAGUGGUGAUGGCCGUGUGGUGUUGCUUAUACACCCCAUAAACACCCCGCAACACAUCCACAACAUGCCCAUUUACACCCAAACACACAAAGUGAAGUGAUGACAUUCCCGACAGCACCAGCGGCAAGACAAGAGACCAAUGCAACUCUUCACCACGACUCUCCACAACGCCUCACCAUCAUUUAUUUCAGGCUCAGGCGUGUAGAUGGGAGCAGUAGAAGAAA